AUUCAAUCUUACUUGCCUUCCGGAAAAAAAACAAAAAACAAUUAUUUCAACCUCUCCGAUCGCCUCCAUUUCAAAAUUUAUAGGCCCUCUCAAGUUUUUUAGGGCAAAUCAUUUCAGCCUCCCAAUCACCUCCAUCUCUAUUCUCGUUGUCAACUCUGAACUUGCUCUAUCUCUCUCUCUGCAACUGCAAACUACAAAAUCUAUAAGAAUCAGAAGUUCAAAACCCAUAUAUUUCAGUUUAUCUAUCUGUCUGCAAGAAUCAAAAGUUCAAAACCUAUUACCUAUAUCAAAACCCAUAUCGGCAUAUCAUUUCAGAUUUUUCAAAAAAAUCAAAGCCCAUACCUAUAUCAAAACCCAGUUCGGGUUCGCCGUUCGCAAGCUUCAGCAGCCGUCACUCAACUCUCAAGCUUGCCCGCCUCUUUCUCUGUAACUGCUAACUUGACAUACAACACACAUGGACACCGGAUUCAUUGUUGUCCGCGACUGCCACAAAACAAACAAACUGGUCUGGAUUUAGUGUUUGUCAUUCUAAGAAGGAAAAAAGUUGGGACAAGUCAUUUUCUAUUGAACAGGGGAGCGAAAAUUCUUUUUAGCCGACCCCAUUCAUUUACAAAACAGACGGCGAGGGCGAGGGCGACCGCGACGGGAGCAAAAAUCCAAGACACAGCACAGUUGCUGUGACCUCUGCUUUCAAGCCGUAAAAAAGGCAUUGUCAAUCACUGAGGUUAAAUCAAACACCUCUUCUUUAUUGUAUUGAAUUACUUUGUUGGCAGCUACUCAUUCAAAUUAUUCUCUCUACUUUUGUAAUUAAAAUAGGAAGACUUAAUAGAUAACUCCCCUUCGUGGUGGACAAAUACUAUGGAACGGACGAGGGAGUACCUUCUAUGUUUAAAUUACCUUUUUCUUUUCAAAUAAUAGAAGCAUCUGUUUUUUUCUA